AUUGAACGCUGGCGGCAGGCCUAACACAUGCAAGUCGAGCGAGCGGCGGACGGGAGAGGAAUGUAUGGGGACUGCCCGAUAGAGGGGGAUAACUACUGGAAACGGUAGCUAAUACAGCAUACGAUCAGAUAACCCAUAUGGGAUUCGCUCGUAGGUGAGGUAAUGGCUCACCUAGGCGACGAUCCCUAGCUGGUCUGAGAGGAUGAUAAGCCACACUGGGACUGAGACACGGGCCAGGCUCCUACGGAGGCAUCAGUGGGGAAUAUUGCACCAUGGGCGCAAGCCUGAUGCAGCCAUGCCGCGUGUAUGAAGAAGGCCCUAGGGUUGUAAAGUACUUGCAGUCUGGAGGCGUUACCGACAGAAGAAGCACCGGCUAACUCCGUGCCAGCAGCCGCGGUAAUUC
rnacentral:rRNA from 1 species